rnacentral:rRNA from 1 species
UUUAUGGAGAGUUUGAUCCUGGCUCAGGAUGAACGCUGGCGGCGUGCCUAAUACAUGCAAGUCGAGCGAACGGACGAGAAGCUUGCUUCUCUGAUGUUAGCGGCGGACGGGUGAGUAACACGUGGAUAACCUACCUAUAAGACUGGGAUAACUUCGGGAAACCGGAGCUAAUACCGGAUAAUAUUUUGAACCGCAUGGUUCAAAAGUGAAAGACGGUCUUGCUGUCACUUAUAGAUGGAUCCGCGCUGCAUUAGCUAGUUGGUAAGGUAACGGCUUACCAAGGCAACGAUGCAUAGCCGACCUGAGAGGGUGAUCGGCCACACUGGAACUGAGACACGGUCCAGACUCCUACGGGAGGCAGCAGUAGGGAAUCUUCCGCAAUGGGCGAAAGCCUGACGGAGCAACGCCGCGUGAGUGAUGAAGGUCUUCGGAUCGUAAAACUCUGUUAUUAGGGAAGAACAUAUGUGUAAGUAACUGUGCACAUCUUGACGGUACCUAAUCAGAAAGCCACGGCUAACUACGUGCCAGCAGCCGCGGUA